CAGCCCUUGACAUCCUGCUGGCAGUCCAGUAAUGUGGAUUUUCCCUCGGGACAGCAGAGACAGGUGGUGCAUGGUUGUCGUCAGCUCGUGUCGUGAGAUGUUGGGUUAAGUCCCGCAACGAGCGCAACCCCUGCCUGCAGUAGCCAGCGGACAAAGCCGGGCACUCUGCAGGGACUGCCGGGGAUAACCCGGAGGAAGGCGGGGACGACGUCAAAUCAUCAUGCCCCUUAUGGGCUGGGCUACACACGUGCUACAAUGGCGUCUACAGAGUGAAGCAGACCUGCGAGGGGGAGCAGACCACAAAAAAGACGUCCCAGUUCGGAUUACAGCCUGCAACCCGGCUGUAUGAAGCUGGAAUCGCUAGUAAUCGCAAAUCAGAAUGUUGCGGUGAAUACGUUCCC
rnacentral:rRNA from 1 species